UGGGUUUCUGCGUAAGUAUAAACUUGUUAAGUCAGUCAGUGCUAAUAAACUCGGGCAUUUACGUCACGCGUGGUAUACCGAGAUCUUCGGAAAUCAUUUUUACGUACUAGGUUAACUUCCACUAAACCGUUAUCCGCUCUGCAUUGAACUACAUUAUAAUACAAAAAUGCUAACAAAAGGCUAUUAGAAAAUUAGAAAUAGUAAGCAGCAAUAAGCUGUUGUUUUGAAUAUAUGAACUAAACGUUUGAUUUAUUCUAGACAAAAAUAUUGAACCAUGUAUUGAAAUCCUUCGACUUUUACACUUGCUUUCGCGUGACUUUGGUUCGCAUUACUGAAAAAAAUUUGUCAUGUGUUCGUCUAGUGAAUUUGCUAAAUAUCAAUUAUCCGGUCUACCCAUAAUAAUCAAUUAGAAACGUUUCGCAACAUAAACA